GACAGAGGGGGCAAGCGUUGCUCGGAAUUACUGGGCGUAAAGGGCGCGUAGGCGGGAUGGCAAGUCGGUCGUGAAAUCCCCGGGCUCAACCUGGGAACUGCCUUUGUGACUGCAAGGCUUGAGUGCGGCAGAGGGGGAUGGAAUUCCGCGUGUAGCAGUGAAAUGCGUAGAUAUGCAGAGGAACACCGAUGGCGAAGGCAAUCCCCUGGGCCUGCACUGACGCUCAUGCACGAAAGCGUGGGGAGCAAACAGG
rnacentral:rRNA from 1 species